UGGGGAAUAUUGCGCAAUGGGCGAAAGCCUGACGCAGCGACGCCGCGUGAGGGAUGAAGGCCUUCGGGUUGUAAACCUCUUUCAGCAGGGACGAAGCGAAAGUGACUGUACCUGCAGAAGAAGCACCGGCUAACUACGUGCCAGCAGCCGCGGUAAUACGUAGGGUGCAAGCGUUGUCCGGAUUUAUUGGGCGUAAAGAGCUCGUAGGCGGCUCGUCGCGUCGGAUGUGAAAACUCGGGGCUUAACCCCGAGCCUGCAUUCGAUACGGGCGGGCUAGAAUUCGGUAGGGGAGACUGGAAUUCCUGGUGUAGCGGUGAAAUGCGCAGAUAUCAGGAGGAACACCGAUGGCGAAGGCAGGUCUCUGGGCCGAUAUUGACGCUGAGGAGCGAAAGCGUGGGGA
rnacentral:rRNA from 1 species